rnacentral:rRNA from 1 species
CUAGUCUUGCCGGUGGAUCACUCGGCUCGUGGAUCGAUGAAGAUCGCAGCCAAAUGCGAUAGCUCUUGCGAACUGCAGAUAUUCUGAGCAUCAAGAAAUCGAAUGCACAUUGCGCCCCGGGAGUUUAUCCCUUGCACAUCUGGUUCAGGGUCGUUU